GGCCUACCAUGGUGGUAACGGGUAACGGGGUGUUAGGGCACGACACCGGAGAGGGAGCCUGAGAAACGGCUACCACAUCCAAGGAUGGCAGCAGGCGCGCAAAUUACCCAAUCCCGACACGGGGAGGUAGUGACAAUAAAUAACAAUACGGGGUUCUUUCGGAUCUCGUAAUUGGAAUGAGUACAAUUUAAAUCUCUUAACGAGGAACAAUUGGAGGGCAAGUCUGGUGCCAGCAGCCGCGGUAAUUCCAGCUCCAAUAGCGUAUAUUAAAGUUGUUGCAGUUAAAAAGCUCGUAGUUGAAUUUCGGGGCCAGUAGGUUGGUCGUGCCACUGGUAUGCACUGGCCUUACUGGUCCCUCCCUCUUGUAGAACCGUGAUGCCAUUAAUUUGGUGUUGCGGGGAAACAGGACUGUUACUUUGAAAAAAUUAGAGUGCUUAAAGCAGGCUCGCGCUUGAAUACAUUAGCAUGGAAUAACGGAAUAGGACGAUCGAACCUAUUUUGUUGGUUUCUAGGAUCGACGUAAUGAUUAAUAGGGAUAGUUGGGGGCAUUAGUAUUCAAUUGUCAGAGGUGAAAUUCUUGGAUUUAUUGAAGACUAACUACUGCGAAAGCAUUUGCCAAGGAUGUUUUCAUUAAUCAAGAACGAAAGUUAGGGGAUCGAAGACGAUCAGAUACCGUCGUAGUCUUAACCAUAAACUAUGCCGACUAGGGAUCGGAUGAAGUUAAUUUUUUAAUGACUCAUUCGGCGCCUUACGGGAAACCAAAGUGUUUGGGUUC
rnacentral:rRNA from 1 species